CCUGGGGGAGGGACGUGGGGCAGAGGGCUGGUUAUGUCAGGGUACACUGUGCCAUCAGCAGAGCGUCUGGGGACAGGCCUGCCCUUCUCUCCCUUCCAGGCCAGAGGCCAGUUCACUGCCCUAACCUGACCUGCCCUGACCCAGCACUGACCCCACCAUCUGGUGAUGACACCCCCUGCCCAGGCCCUGCCCCUGAAACCAAAAAGGAAGGAGUUAAAAUUUCCCUGGAUUAGGCCGAAACCAUUGACAUGGGAAACAAAGUGACCAAGUUUCUGAGCUUGUUCUGCAGAACAGCAGGGGGACGCUGACACAUGGCAGCUUGUUGACCACAACCCCGCCCCCAAGCAUCAUGCAGGGGCACCAAGAAGCCAGUGACUGAGUGUAAACGUUCAACAUCACAGACUAAAAUCCACCGCAUGCAACAUGGAAGACAGUUGCACCUGUGCAGAGGACUCUUAGAACUUCCGCCCCAAGGCCACAUGCUCCCCCUCCCCCACUUGAAACCCCCAAUAAAAACCCCUGCUUGUAGCUUUUCGGGGAGUUCGGGAUUACAGCGUUAGCUGCCCGCUCUCCUUGCUCAGUGCUCUGCAGGAAAAUUCCUACUUUGUUCCACUGCGCCCGGCGUCAGAGAUUGGCUUGCUGUGCGACGGAAAAGCGAACCUGCUUAAGGUCUCCACUGAGUCUUGAAGGAGCCAGCUGACGUGAUGGUGAGGAACCGAGGCCCUCUGUCCAACAGCCAUGAGGACCUGAAUCCUGCCAACACCACCUGAGCUUGGCAGCAGAUCCUGCUCCAGUUGAGCCUUGAGGUGACCACAGCUGGCUGACACCCUAAAGCAGAGGGGCCAGUCGGGCUGCGUCCAGGCCCUGACCCACGAAGACCUCCACCAAUCAAACACGCCCACUCAAACUGGGAGCUAGUGAUGCAGAGGCAGGGACCUGGGGGGAGGUGCUGCAGCAGCCACGUGCAGUGUCUGCAGCCAGGGCCGGCCUGGUCUCAGGCCCAUGUCUUGCUCCAGCAGCGGUGGCAGGGUGAGCUGUCGGUCUCAUGUCAGCAGAGCUCUCUGGGCUGACUCUCAGGCUGGGUUUGGUGGUUUUCAUGGCCACGCGACUUUCCUUUCUUCUGCCCAUUUCCGGAACUGGGUCUUCGGCCACCAUGGCAAUUCUGGAGCACCAGCCGCCUGCCGACCCAGCACUUCCUGCUCCCACCCGCAAGAGCCGACCUCCGUGCCCUGCCAGGACUCCCGACAGAAGGCAGAGGUCAAGAUAUGCAGAAUCUUCCUCGCGGACCCCACGCCGGUGCUCAGCCACCUCAGCGUCCUUCCCCACAUCCAGCUGCUCUCUGGCCAUCGGCUCUGUAUCCCACACUCCAGGGUAGGCUGCUACCCCAGCCUGCUCACCGCUGGACCCCAGCACCUGUCCCAGGGCCUGGAGCCCAGGAGGUGCUCAGGGAAGUGGUUCCGGAACCUGCUUCUCCCUUGAUGAAAAAGAUGGAAGAAUAACAAUGGAAUCUGACUUUUGUACUUUGGAACCCAGGGGUUGGCAUCUGACAAAAUAGUCCAUGUCUGAAAGAAGCCUGGAUGAGCUGGCAAGGCCAGUGGAGGGAGAUGGUGAUGGGCCCGUGAUGGUUAACUUCAGGGUCAGCUUGGCUUGCCUGGUCAAACAUUGGGUGUUGCUUAUUAAAAGAUAUUUUUUAGA